UACAGAGGUGGCAAGCGUUGUUCGGAUUUAUUGGGCGUAAAGGGUCUGUAGGCGGUCGGAAAAGUCGGAUGUGAAAUCCCACAGCUUAACUGUGGAACUGCAUUCGAAACUCUCCGACUCGAGUAUGAGAGGGGUAAAGGGAAUUCCCGGUGUAAGGGUGAAAUCUGCAGAGAUCGGGAGGAACACCAGUCGCGAAGGCGCUUUACUGGCUCAUUACUGACGCUGAGGGACGAAAGCUAGGGGAGCAAACGGG
rnacentral:rRNA from 1 species